UCCUACGGGACGCAGCAGUGAGGAAUAUUGGUCAAUGGGCGCAAGCCUGAACCAGCCAUGUCGCGUGAGGGAUGACGGCUCUAUGGAUUGUAAACUGCUUUUGUCCGAGGGCAAACCUGAAUACGUGUAUUCAGCUGAAAGUACUGUACGAAUAAGGAUCGGCUAACUCCGUGCCAGCAGCCGCGGUAAUACGGAGGAUCCAAGCGUUAUCCGGAUUUAUUGGGUUUAAAGGGUGCGUAGGCGGUUUGUUAAGUUAGAGGUGAAAUGUCCGGGCUCAACUCGGGAACUGCCUCUAA
rnacentral:rRNA from 1 species